GAGCUGGCCACCCCUCUCCACACCGGACUCGGGCAGCGGCCUGGGCAACCUAGCGUCCACCUGCGCUCCUGGGACCCCCGCCCGCCGCGCUCCUUCGGGAUGCGAGUCCCUGAGCGGACUCCCGGGAGGGGCGGGCACACGCGCGGCUUCUCCCGGUGCACAGGGAUGUUGCUGUCCCGGGGGCCCCGGCGCGUGGCCGAGGCCAGCCCCGCGGGCCCCUGAAGCUGCUGCCCCGAGCGCGCCGCCGCCGGGCUCCCGCAGCCGUCAGAGACACCGUUUCCAGUCAUCCAACCUCUCAGGCUUGGACCCAUGGAGCCCGCAGUGUUGGCUCCGCACCACCUUCCGCACCACGAACCCAUUAGCUUCGGCAUCGAUCAGAUACUGAGCGGCCCCGAGCCCCCGGGGGGCGGUCUGGGUCCGGGUCAGGUUGGCCAGAGCCAAGGGGAGAGUGCGGCGUUCUCCAGUGGAUUCCACGGAACCUCAGGCUACGCUCCAGCCGGCUCGCUGGCCUCGUUGCCUAGGGGCUCGGGAGUGGGCCCCGGCGGCGUGAUCCGAGUCCCCGCGCACCGCCCGGUGCCUGUGCCGCCGCCCUCGGGUGCGGCCCCCGCCGUGGCCGGACCGUCUGGUUUGGGUGGCCCUGGGGGCCUAGCGGGACUCACUUUCCCCUGGAUGGACAGCGGCCGCCGCUU
rnacentral:lncRNA from 1 species